GAAGACGCGAUGAAGAGGAAUAGUAAACGAGCAAUGGCUAAAGAGAGUGAAAUCCACGGCUGAAAGAUUUCACAGCCCGCUUGCCUGUUGAACCUGCCCUCAGAGCGCUUAGGCAAACCUAAACGUAUCCCGCGUUACGGGGCAAGAGCUGAGCAUGUAUAUGCUAAUGAAGGUGGUACCGCGAAACCUUUUCGUCCUUUGC
rnacentral:ncRNA from 1 species